CCUCCUCGAUCUGCUGCGGGCAGAUGAAGUGGAUAUGCACGUCGAUGCCGCCGGAGGUGAGGAUGCGGCCCUCCCCCGCGAUGAUCUCGGUGCCCGGGCCGAUGACGAUAUCGACGCCCGGCUGCGUGUCCGGAUUGCCCGCCUUGCCGAUGGCGGCGAUCCGGCCGUCGCGCAGCCCGACAUCGGCCUUGUAGAUCCCGGUGUGGUCGAGGAUCAGCGCAUUGGUGAUCACGGUAUCCAUGGUGCCGCCGUCGCGCCCGGUCUGGGACUGCCCCAUGCCGUCGCGGAUG
rnacentral:sRNA from 1 species